rnacentral:rRNA from 1 species
GAGUUUGAUCUUGGCUCAGGAUGAACGCUGGCGGCGUGCCUAAUACAUGCAAGUCGAACGAACAGAUAAGGAGCUUGCUCCUUUGACGUUAGCGGCGGACGGGUGAGUAACACGUGGGUAACCUACCUAUAAGACUGGAAUAACUCCGGGAAACCGGGGCUAAUGCCGGAUAACAUGUUGAACCGCAUGGUUCUACAGUGAAAGACGGUCUUGCUGUCACUUAUAGAUGGACCCGCGCCGUAUUAGCUAGUUGGUGGGGUAACGGCCUACCAAGGCGACGAUACGUAGCCGACCUGAGAGGGUGAUCGGCCACACUGGAACUGAGACACGGUCCAGACUCCUACGGGAGGCAGCAGUAGGGAAUCUUCCGCAAUGGGCGAAAGCCUGACGGAGCAACGCCGCGUGAGUGAUGAAGGUCUUCGGAUCGUAAAGCUCUGUUGUUAGGGAAGAACAAAUGUGUAAGUAACUGUGCAUAUCUUGACGGUACCUAACCAGAAAGCCACGGCUAACUACGUGCCAGCAGCCGCGGUAAAACC